UAAAACUUUAUUAAAGCAUAUGAUACUUUUAUUUUCUCUUGUUCAAUAUAGACUUUUUUUUCUCUAGAUGCACACAACAAUGAGGCCACAGAGAUUAAAAAUAAAACCGAAGGAUGACGCAGCUCAUUUUGUGAGUCUGAGUCAGGACAAAGAGGGUUUUGAUGUGCGAUAUAUAAACUCUUUGAAGGGUCGAGGAGUAUUUAGUACAUGCCACUUUCAGACAGGAGCCUUAUUGGAAUAUCGAGGCGAUGUCAUAAACAGAAAAGAGUAUGAAAGACGGGUAAAAAUCUAUCAUGAUGCCAUGAAGGUCUUCAUGUUUGAGUUUCGUCAUAAUGGGAAAAAGUUGUGUGUUGAUGCAGCGAGAGAGGAUGGGUCUUUGGGAAGACUGGUUAAUGAUGACCAUUUGAGCCCUAACAGCAAAAUGAAGACAAUAACAGUGAAUGGAAAACCUCAUCUCUGCCUUUUUGCAAUUAAGGACAUAAAUCCAGGGG